AGUGCCAGUUUUAAUACAAAGCGAGAAUUUUUUAGGAAUAAAAAAAAAAAAAAAAAAUUUAGUUUCCAAACUGCAGUUACAUAUAAAGUUUAUCUCAUUUUUCACUAUGUGAUGUGAUGUAACAUUGAAAAAAGGCACACUAAAUUGCAACAUUUGAAACAUUAAGUGGAGAUAAAAUAAAUAAAAAUGGGGGCCGUUUGGAUAUUUAGAAAUUCAUUGACAGAAAUCAAAACAGUAAAAUCUACUUUUAGAAGGAGAUUUAGAGCUAUUUGAUGCAGGAAGAGAAAUAAAUCCAUUUCACAUUUAAAAAAAAAAAGGAGAAUGUGUUUUGAAAACGAAAAAUUGUUGUCGGCGGGUCUGAUAGACAGGCGUAAAAAGUGUCUCAUAGUUGAGUUCGUUGAUCCAGAGAGAAGCUUAGGAGGAUAAAACCGGAUCCCAAAAGGGUUGAGCCGACUCCAUGCCAUGAAAGGGAAUUUUGCAGUCAAAUGGCAAAGUGUGAAGGGUCGUUAACAACGUGGGCGAAUUGCAAUCAAAAAGUACACGAUACAGUCUACCAUAUGAGGGGACAAAGACCUCGGACAUCCUGUGUACGAAAUGCAUACAUUUUGAGUCUCCUCUCUUUCUCUCUCAUCAUGAAGAGACACAUGCACUUUGAUUUAUUUCACACGCCUUGUGUCUCCAAUCAGUUAAGCAAAGUUGAUUUCGAAACAUUUCACUAAAACUUAUGUAACAGUUUGGUAUUUUUAAACAUUUUUUUUUUUUUUCUUUAAUAAAUUCUUAAUUUUCGAAUUUUUAUUUAUUGCAAAAAAUUUUUGAAACAAUUUCAAAGAAGCAUCUUCUUAAAUAGAUUAUCACUGAGAAUAUUCUUCUAUUUAUUCUUAACUACAUUCGACUUUUAUCUUUUCCCCCUUUUUUAUGUUCACUUCUCUCUUUCUCUCAUCUUUUUAAAUUACCUAUAUCAAAAAUUACAGGGAAUCUAUUUCUAUUUCUCAGAAGGCUUUGAUUAUUUUAAGAAGUGGAAUUUCUACAUUUUACCUUAUCUUCCAUAAAGUGAUUCACGAAUAAUCCAUACUUAAGACAGGUGCGUCAAAGUCAUACGUUUUUUUUUUUAAAUUGAUCGCAUCAUUUUAGU